UGGGGAAUCUUCCGCAAUGGACGAAAGUCUGACGGAGCAACGCCGCGUGAGUGAAGACGGCCUUCGGGUUGUAAAGCUCUGUGAUUCGGGACGAAAGGCCAUAUGUGAAUAAUAUAUGGAAAUGACGGUACCGAAAAAGCAAGCCACGGCUAACUACGUGCCAGCAGCCGCGGUAAUACGUAGGUGGCAAGCGUUGUCCGGAAUUAUUGGGCGUAAAGCGCGCGCAGGCGGUCACUUAAGUCCAUCUUAGAAGUGCGGGGCUUAACCCCGUGAUGGGAUGGAAACUGGGAGACUGGAGUAUCGGAGAGGAAAGUGGAAUUCCUAGUGUAGCGGUGAAAUGCGUAGAUAUUAGGAGGAAUACCGGUGGCGAAGGCGACUUUCUGGACUUUUACUGACGCUCAGGUACGAAAGCGUGGGGAGCAAACAGG
rnacentral:rRNA from 1 species